rnacentral:tRNA from 1 species
GCCUUCGUGGUGUAGUGGUUCGCACGCCGGUUUGUGGUGCCGGAGGUGUCGGUUCGAUUCCGGUCGGAGGCC